rnacentral:rRNA from 1 species
GGGUAACGGGGAAUUAGGGUUCGACUCCGGAGAGGGAGCCUGAGAAACGGCUACCACAUCCAAGGAAGGCAGCAGGCGCGCAAAUUACCCAAUCCCGACACGGGGAGGUAGUGACAAUAAAUAACAACACAGGGCUCUUUUGGGUCUUGUUAUUGGAAUGAGUACGAUUUAAAUCUCCUAACGAGGAACAAUUGGAGGGCAAGUCUGGUGCCAGCAGCCGCGGUAAUUCCAGCUCCAUAGCGUAUAUUAAAGUUGUUGCAGUUAAAAAGCUCGUAGUUGAAUUUCAGGCCUGGCUGGACGGUCCGCCCUUCGGGUGAGUACUGUCUGUGGUCGGGUCCUACCUUCUGGCGAAGCGUCAUGGCCUUAACCGGCCGUGGCGGGGAACCAGGACUUUUACUGUGAAAAAAUUAGAGUGUUCAAAGCAGGCAAUCGCUUGGAUACAUUAGCAUGGAAUAAUGGAAUAGGACAAUGGUUCUAUUUGUUGGUUUCUAGGACCGUUGUAAUGAUUAAUAGGGAUAGUUGGGGGCAUUAGUAUUCAAUUGUCAGAGGUGAAAUUCUUGGAUUUAUUGAAGACUAACUACUGCGAAAGCAUUUGCCGAGGAUGUUUUCAUUAAUCAAGAACGAAAGUUAGGGGAUCGAAGACGAUCAGAUACC